rnacentral:rRNA from 1 species
AGUGAACGCUGGCGGUAGGCCUAACACAUGCAAGUCGAGCGGCAGCACAGUAAGAGCUUGCUCUUACGGGUGGCGAGUGGCGGACGGGUGAGGAAUACAUCGGAAUCUACUUUUUCGUGGGGGAUAACGUAGGGAAACUUACGCUAAUACCGCAUACGACCUACGGUUGAAAGCAGGGGAUCUUCGCACCUUUCGCGAUUGGAUGAGCCGAUGUCGGAUUAGCUAGUUGGCGGGGUAAAGGCCCACCCUGGCGACGAUACGUAGCCGGUCUGAGAGGAUGGUCGGCCACACUGGAACUGAGACACGGUCCAGACUCCUACGGGAGGCAGCAGUGGGGAAUAUUGGACAAUGGGCGCAAGCCUGACCCAGCCAUACCGCGUGGGUGAAGAAGGCCUUCGGGUUGUAAAGCCCUUUUGUUGGGAAAGAAAAGCUGUAGGUUAAUACCCCGCUGUUCUGACGGUACCCAAUGAAUAAGCACCGGCUAACUUCGUG